CUCUUGCUAACGAGUUUCAGGUGAGUGGCACAAGUCCAAUAUGAAAUACUCCUCGGCUGCAGUCUCACACAGGCGAGAACACAUGCCCAUGGAAAGCCAUGCGCCUGACCUCCAUGUUAACCCCUGAUCUCCAUGUUAUGCCCAGCCAUGACUCAAACUGAAAGAGAAAAGAUUCAUUUGUUGUACUUCAUGCAGUCGUCGGUGUGGGAGGCCGUCAUGCUGUUGUGGAGGGCUCCAAGCGUACUGCCGCAGUAUUUAUACGACUACCCUCCCUGGUGCAUCCCGUAUAGCCGUACUUGCCUCCAUGUGCAGGAAACUAAAGGUAUAAAUUCGCCAUGUCGUUCCGAGGAGGAUUCUCCCAUCCGCAAGAACGGACCAGCAAAAAUCUCAAUCGACCAUACUUAUAGUGAGAACCGGCACACACAAGCGAGAACACAAGCACAUGGAAAGCCAUGCCCCUGAUCUCCAUGUUAUGCCCAGCCAUGGCUCAAAUUGAAAGAGGAAAGAUUCAUUUGUUGUACUAGAUGCAAUCGUCAGUAUGGGAGGCCGUCAUGCUGUUGUGGAGGGCUUCAAGGUUAGGUUCAAAGUAAUCAAGGAAGAAUGAGUGCUGCCAAGAGCUUCAGCGAGAUUGAUGCAUUGCCUUGCAUGUGGUUUUCCACUAAUUUCUCCUCUUUAAGAACAAUAUAUGUUGAUACGAUUUCUUUUGUAUUUCUUUUUGAUCCUACAAAAAGGAGCCUGCAAAUCGGUUCCUUAGAUAUUAUACUGAGUCAGUGUUAGGUAAUAGUUCAAAUAUUUGUAUUCUACUUUCACAGAAAAUAAUGAGAAAAUCAAUGCCAAAGGACGUUUCAAAUGCGGCAGCUGCGGUGUUGAAAAUAAUGAGAAAGUAAUCGGGUAUGCUCCCAUGUGGCACCACAUCAUGAAACUUUUCAGGGAUGCAUUCUAAGCAAAUAUUUUAAAAAGAAAUUCUAGCUAUCUUUCAGUAGAGGGCUCUUGCUUGGUUCUGGCAGGAACGAUCUGAUUGGUGUCAUACAAUGUGCAAGUGUACAUAUUGUACACAUUUUUCUCUUUAAUUUAGUAACUUUUGCGUUACGCAGGAAUGAGUUGUUGAAUGUGUUCUUAUGAUUCUUGCAAUAGUGGAAUAAAUAUUCAUAAUUCUUACAUGCGCGCCCAUGUAAAGAUUUAUUAUUCAGCCUUUAGGUGUACAUUGAAUUAUUUGUGUGUGCAUUCUAAAAUAAUUGUUAUUAUAUGCCUUUUUACCUACCGUUUUAUGGCUUAUAUUUCUAAAGGGUAUUACACAGAAGAUUCCCUAAUUUAGUUUCUCAAAAUCAUAUUUAACUAAGUGUUGUUUUUUUCAGGUGAAUACAUAUCUUUGGAGGAUUCUCGAUCAAGAAGCGAGGUUGCUCGACUGAUUUCUUACGUAAGCAUAACCAUGCAAAAUUAGUGUAAGUUGUUUAAAUUUAAA